rnacentral:rRNA from 1 species
GCAAGUCGUGCGAGAAGUGUUUUUUGCUUGCAUUGAACACGGACAGCGGCGAAAGGGAGAGUAACGUGUGGUUACAUGCCCAGGGGUCCAGGAUAGCGUUGGGAAACUGGCGGUAAUACUGGAUAAUAUCUUUGGAUCAAAGGUGUGAUUCCGCCCUUGGAUUGGACCGCAUACUAUUAGCUUGUUGGUGAGGUAAUGGCUCACCAAGGCUGCGAUGGUUACCGGGUGUGAGAGCAUGGCC